rnacentral:rRNA from 1 species
CGGCACAGCGGGAAGCCAGGCGGCGACGCCGAGCGAACCAAAGCCGUUCUCAGUUCGGAUCGGAGUCUGCAACCCGACUCCGUGAAGCUGGAUUCGCUAGUAAUCGCGCAUCAGCCAUGGCGCGGUGAAUACGUUCCCGGGCCUUGUACACACCGCCCGUCAAGCCAUGGGAGCCGGGGGCACUUGAAGUACGCCGCCGCGAGGAGCGUCCCAGAGUGAAACUGGUGACUGGGGCUAAGUCGUAACAAGGUAGC